AGCGAACGCUGGCGGCAGGCCUAACACAUGCAAGUCGAACGAAGUCUUCGGACUUAGUGGCGGACGGGUGAGUAACACGUGGGAACGUACCUUUUGGUUCGGAACAACUCAGGGAAACUUGAGCUAAUACCGGAUGAGCCCUUGGGGGGAAAGAUUUAUCGCCGAAAGAGCGGCCCGCGUUAGAUUAGCUAGUUGGUGAGGUAAAGGCUCACCAAGGCUACGAUCUAUAGCUGGUCUGAGAGGAUGAUCAGCCACACUGGGGCUGAGACACGGCCCAGACUCCUACGGGAGGCAGCAGUGGGGAAUCUUGCGCAAUGGGCGAAAGCCUGACGCAGCCAUGCCGCGUGGGUGAUGAAGGCCCUAGGGUUGUAAAGCCCUUUCGGCGGGGAAGAUAAUGACGGUACCCGCAGAAGAAGCCCCGGCUAACUUCGUGCCAGCCGCCGCUGUAAUAC
rnacentral:rRNA from 1 species